rnacentral:misc_RNA from 1 species
GAAAUUUCUCAACUUUUGGAGAAAUUGAUGGAAAAUCGAAUUGGGUUUUAGAAGAAAUCACUAUUUCUUUUCUUCCCAAUAAUAAUCUUUGUAAAAAGGGUGUUGAAAUUCUCAGCUUCUUCAUCAACAUUUUGUUUUUCUUGGAGAAAUUGAUAGAAGAAGGUACUGUAAUCUUCAGUUUGUGUAGUAUGUAAUUUGUAAUAAGCAAAUAAGUUCGAUAGGAACUAAGUUAUGCUAUCAAAGAUACGAUAACAAGGUUGUAUAUCAUGAUGGAGUCGUGGGGUGAUCUCGAAU